rnacentral:rRNA from 1 species
CGCGUAGGCGGAUUAUUAAGUCUGGUGUGAAAGAUCAGGGCUCAACCCUGAGAGUGCAUCGGAAACUGGUGAUCUUGAGGACAGGAGAGGAAAGUGGAAUUCCACGUGUAGCGGUGAAAUGCGUAGAUAUGUGGAGGAACACCGGUGGCGAAGGCGACUUUCUGGACUGUAACUGACGCUGAGGCGCGAAAGCGUGGGGAGCAAACAGGAUUAGAUACCCUAGUA